AAUCACUUUUUUAUUUUUGAAUGAUUGCAAUCGAAUACUGGCUACCAUAUCUGUAUAUUUGAUGACAAAAAAAUUAGAAUGCUAAUAAAUGCAAAAAAAAAAUUGAUUUUAUUUAAACCUGAUUACAUAUUUCAUAAUCGAAAUUAUUUAUAUUGGAAUGUUAAACAUAUUAUAAUCUGCACAAAAUCAAUGAGUGAAAUGGCUAUGGCAUAGUUGUAUAGUCAUGCAAUAUCACAUCUUCAAUACAAUUAUCAAAACCUUUACUAAUAAUUUUAAAAAAAAAUAUUUUACACAAAUAUAAUUACAAAGAAAAACAUAAAUAUGAAAAUUAAAGUUCUAAAAAGAAAUGUAAAACAAAAAAUAUACUUAUUCUUGAUGGACGGAUCAAAAUCUAGUCUUAUACUAUUAAAAAAGAAGAUCUAUUUUUGAGGUGCCCUUCUGUUUCAACAAUAUUUACAGAUCUCUCCCACUGCUUUAAUUUAAACUAUGCUUUUAAAUUAUCUUUAUUAUUCACUAAAUCCUUUUAUUCCAACAAACAAUAUAUUUCCGUUUUUCUCUAUCCCUUUCAACUAAAUAAUUUUUAGCAUAAUUAAAAGAUUUUGUGAUCUGGAACAAGAGGUCAUCGCAAAUUGGGGAUUUCAAGUUACGUUGUACGAAGUGAUUACGAAGGCGAUUUGUCUUAGGGUUCGGAGAAGUGGACGAAGGUUUUGCGACUUGAUUUUCAUCUUGCUAGGAAACCCUUUAGUGGCUUCUCUAAUGGUGGUUCUGAAUUCAAGAUGGAGACGUUGAUCCCUGCUGUACUAACAAGUUCCAAGUUCGCAAGAAAAAAAAUCAAAAGAGAGGGAAGAUUGAGCACUCACUGAUUAACAUAAAUAUAUCUGUCUUUUUAUUUAUCCGAGAACUCCUUUGUGGUUUUGUUGACAUUUGGUCGGUGUCGGUGAUUUGUAGGGUCUGGGUUUGAAGAAUCUUGGGAAUACAUAUUUUUUGAAUUCUGUAUUGCAAUUUUUGACAUACACUGAGUUCUUAGAUGCUUACUUUCUAGAUGUUAGCAAUGUGAAACGAUGUAUGCAUUUAGAAGCUGGUUUGAUUAAUUGCUUGGCUUGGUGGAUCUUUUAUUCAGUGUCUAAUUGGAUGCUCUCAUGAAAACGUUUGUGUAGUCCAUGUGACUGGGUUUUGUGCUUUAUGUGCAAUGCAGAGGCAUGUUAGGACAACCCUUCAAGCUUCUGGCGGAAUAGCAGCACCAAGUCUCAAACUUAGGAGGUACGCUUUUGUAAAAUAAAUACGUAAGAAUCUAAUCAUAUCUUUCGGGAAAGAGAUGCUCUUCACCACGAUACUAUCAAUUGUACAUCUAUGUGUCAUGUACGUCAGUACGGUUCUCAUCCAGAGCUCAUAGAUUUCACCUUCUGCAAGAGAUCUCUGCCAUUGGAGGAUCUUCUUUGAGGAAUGAGAGGAGCCACAUCUCAUGUCAUUGCCAAAAAAAGCCAAAAUGAUGAAAGCGAUUGAAUCCUACUCUGAUAGAUAACAGAGCUACAGAUGUUACAAGUAUUUCCAACGAAUCUUUGCUUGAGACUUAAAGUUUUUGAAUUCCGAGAUGCGCUUAUAAGUUUAGGUGGAGAAGUAGUGGCUUUUGACCUUGUGCACAAAAAAAUAGCAGUGGCUUUUGACCAAAAUCCUUGGUCUAAUGGUUGCAGGAUUUUCACAAAAGUUCCAGUGGAUGUCGAUCCUAUGCUUUAAUUGGAGGAUAACAAUCAAUAAACACCUCAGCUUUUGUCUAACAUUUUCAUAAGAAUUUUUUUUUUUCACUCA